rnacentral:rRNA from 1 species
UGGGGAAUAUUGGACAAUGGGCGCAAGCCUGAUCCAGCCAUGCCGCGUGAGUGAUGACGGCCUUAGGGUUGUAAAGCUCUUUCGACGGGGACGAUAAUGACGGUACCCGUAGAAGAAGCCCCGGCUAACUUCGUG